AGAAGAUGUAGCCGGCCGUGGACGAGAUGUUUCCUGAGGGCGCCGGGCCGUAUGUGGACCUGGACGAGGCAGGAGGCAGCACUGGGCUCCUGAUAGACUUGGCAGCCAAUGAAAAGGCAGUUCACGCAGACUUUUUCAAUGAUUUUGAAGAUCUCUUUGACAAUGAUGAUAUCCAGUGAGGUGUGUCCAGUGGUGCAUUUGGUCAAGCUUAGCCACGUGGUGGUGUGGUGGGUCUCCUUAAAGGACAGUUUCAGGUGGUUCCAGAGAACUUGUGGGAAUCGCUAGAAUUUAGGAGAUGAUUAGCCAAGAAAGAGAAGAAGGUUUUAACCAUCUGGAGGAGGCCUGUUAAACUCUGAAUGUGGCCAGCUUUUGUCCUUAACUUCAGUUAAAAUAAAGUGAUGUUAUUA